rnacentral:rRNA from 1 species
GUCCACACUGUAACGAUGAAUGCUAGGUGUAGGGGUAUCGACCCCUUCUGUGCCGCAGUCAACACAAUAAGCAUUCCGCCUGGGGAGUACGGCCGCAAGGUUGAAACUCAAAGGAAUUGACGGGGGCCCGCACAAGCAGCGGAGCAUGUGGUUUAAUUCGACGCAAACGCGAAGAACCUUACCAGGUCUUGACAUCCACUUAAAACUUACAGAGAUGUAAAGGUGUGCUUGCACAAAAGUGAGACAGGUGGUGCAUGGUUGUCGU